CCACUGCUUAUCCUAGUUAUGUUGCCCAGAGGUGGCAACCCAAGAGAGGGGGGAGGGUGAAUUGAAUUCUUUUAAAAAAUUUUAACUAAAUUAAACUUUAAGCAAGAAUAUGCUUCAAUUUAAGCGAAGUUGUGUGUUUGAGAUGUAUAUGAUGUAUGUAGCAGCGGAAUUAAGAUACAAGCAAGCAAAGCUUAAAUUAAAAUGAUGCAAGGUAAAUAUGAGAAG
rnacentral:lncRNA from 1 species